UCCAAAGCGACUUACAAUAGUUGAGUACAAUGUAAAAUAAGUUUAAAGGUAAAACAUCUUUGGAUAGGGAUAAAAGGAGGACAAAGGGGAAUAAUAGGAUAGAGGAGUGAAGGAGGGGAAGAAGGAAAUGAGGAUAGAAGUAGUUAGUGUGUUAGAGGUGUUAAGAGAGUAAGUGCUCUUUGAAGAGCUCUGUCUUCAGGAGUUUCUUAAAGAUAGCGAGAGAUUCUCCUGAUCUGGUAGUGGAAGGUAGUUUGUUCCACCAUUGGGGAACUCUGUAUGAGAACAGUCUGGAUUGCUUUGUGUGAGUUUUUGGCAAAGCGAGGCGACGUUCACUGGAGGAGCGCAGCGGCCGGGAGGUAGCGUAAGCCUUCAGGAGCGAGUGCAGGUAGGAAGGAGCCUGUUCUGUAUCACCUUGUAGGCGAUUGUAAGAGCUUUGAAUUUGAUGCGAGCAUCAACUGGUAGCCAAUGGAGCUCAAUGAGCAGCGGAGUGACAUGUGCCCGUUUU